GGGUUUCCCGGCUAUGUUUUGUCACACAUCAUUGCUGGCAGAGUUCAGUGCUAUCCAAGUGACUCCCCUGGGAGACGACAACUGGAAAUUUCUGCCUGGUGUCUUUCUGGACUCCGACCUAUGCACCUUUUUUCUUGGAUGAUUUUAAUCUGUCUCCUUUCGCUGCAGUGAACCACAACCAUGAGUAUAACAGCUUUUCUAAUUUUUGUGAGUCCCUCAAGUGAAUCAUCAAACCUAAGGUAGUUUUGGGAUCCCCAUCACAGAGAGUCAAACAGGAGCAGGGCAAGAAGAGCUGCUUUUCCUGGAAGGCUAAUGAGUCUGAAGUUCGCCCUGGAGAUAAUCCUCACAGUAACUCCAGGCUCUAACCUGGAGCUGACAUGAUAAGGCCAAAUGUACACCUCUAAAAGACACUGCCGACUACAGAGGGGAAUGGAUGGGGGAGCUGAGGGAGCAGAGAUGAAGCAGGGAGACCAAGGCCUGGAAAGAGAUGGCUGAACCAGUCCAGGUGGUAAGGAGUCCAUGUCAGCUGCCAUCACCCACACCACAGACUAGACAUUGCAAAGAGUGGCCAGGCCUUUUGAGUGAAGGUGAUCCAACCUGUCACUAAGCCUAAGGGCAAAUCCUGGCUGUGCUGUGAUGGCUCCAACAACCCCAAACAGCAGCACAGAGGCUGCAGCCGCCCUCGGAGGCAUCAGUGGGAAACGCUCAUUAGCAGCCUUCCAUUGCUCACCCGCCCCAUCCCACCUCUGUGCAUCCCAGACCAUCAGCCAAGUGCACAGCUGGCUUCCAUCCUCAGAGCCUUCCUCCUUCAUUUGCCUAUUCAACAGUUACAAAGGCCUGAGUUGCAAAGGGGCUUACAACCCAUUCUACCCAGAAGAAAGAGAACUGAGACUGAGCAAGACAGAGAAUAGGUGGAAGCGGGGAUUAAACCAAGCAAUCUCUAGAUCCCAAAUGGAGACCCUGAUGUAGCAAGAGCCUCUUCUAAAUCCUUUUCCAAUAGGAUAAUGUGGAAAAUGGUUGAAAGCACAAGCCAACCGGGGCUGGAAUCCAAAUGGGCCAUUUACUAGCUGUGUGACUGGACAAGUAAUUUCAUAUUGCUGAACCUCAAUUUUCUCAUCUGUAAAAUAGAAAAAAAAAAUCUAUGUCAUAAGGUUGAUAUACGGAUUAGAUGAGCUAAGAUCUAAAACGUCUUCUAUUCAGUAGGUGCUCAAUAAAUGUUAUCUAUUUUUA